GCCAGCAUGGUGUAGUGGUUUGAGCAUUGGACCUAUGACUCUGGAGACCAGGGUUCAAAUCCUUGUUCGGCCA